rnacentral:rRNA from 1 species
UACAGAGGUUUCAAGCGUUGUUCGGAUUCAUUGGGCGUAAAGGGUGCGUAGGCGGCGCGGUAAGUCGGGUGUGAAAUCUCGGGGCUUAACUCCGAAACUGCAUUCGAUACUGCCGUGCUUGAGGACUGGAGAGGAGACUGGAAUUCCUGGUGUAGCGGUGAAAUGCGUAGAUAUCGUGAGGAAGACCAGUGGCGAAGGCGGGUCUCUGGACAGUUCCUGACACUGAGGCACGAAGGCCAGGGGAGCAAACGGG